CCUACUCCCUGUGUGCCUUGCCUCCACGACUCGGCCGCGUCGACGGGGGCCCGCACAAGCGGUGGAGCAUGUGGUUUAAUUCGAAGCAACGCGAAGAACCUUACCAGGUCUUGACAUCCCUCUGACCGCUCUAGAGAUAGAGUUUUCCUUCGGGACAGAGGUGACAGGUGGUGCAUGGUUGUCGUCAGCUCGUGUCGUGAGGUGUCGGCUUAAGUGCCAUAACGAGCGCAACCCUUGCUGUCAGUUACUAAC
rnacentral:rRNA from 1 species